rnacentral:rRNA from 1 species
UACGUAGGGGGCAAGCGUUGUCCGGAUUUAUUGGGCGUAAAGAGCGUGUAGGCGGCCAUACAGGUCAGCUGUGAAAACUCGAGGCUCAACCUCGAGACGUCGGUUGAAACCGUAUGGCUAGAGUCCGGAGGAGGAGAGUGGAAUUCCCGGUGUAGCGGUGAAAUGCGCAGAUAUCGGGAAGAACACCCGUGGCGAAGGCGGCUCUCUGGGACGGUACUGACGCUGAGACGCGAAAGCGUGGGGAGCGAACAGG